GGAAAAGAGCUUGUUUUCAACAGUAAGGCUGUCCUUGGAUGGGCUUGUCCUUGGCUCAUCCUCUGGGAUCCACCCCUUCUGUGGUCCUGCAGGUGCCACCCAUCUCUUGGGGAGUGUCCAUGCCACAGCUAUCCCUGCACAUCCCUUCUCAUAAAUAUCCAGAAGUUCCAGGGCUGUCUCUACUCAAGCCUCAUAUAGCCACAAACAAACCCUUCAAUUUACAUUUCACCACCUCCCAAGAGCUUCCCCAGAUUCCUCGCAGUUAGAAGAGGCCGCACCCUUGUCCCGUCCCCCAGUGCCUGCCCUGCACGUAUCCUUUGGCAUGAACAUCGUCUGCUCACUGUCCUGGUUUCAACGCCACCUGGACCAUGACACUAGGGUUCUGUAGGUCCAGCCCAGCCUUGGUGGCCAUGAAGGUUUGGAUCCCUGACGAGCAUUUCUACCCCAAAUGCCAUCUCAGCAUCUGAUAUCUGCUUCCAGAAAGCUCAGCCAACAUCGCCAACUUUCUUCAUUCAUUCUUUCACAUGACGGAUGCUGAGCAAUGGAGACCCAGCAGUAAAAAGUGAGGGGCUUGUGGACCAGGGGAGUGAGACAGACUACCAACAGAGAGCCUCUUCAUUGACUAGAUUGUCACUACCCUAGCAGCUACUAUCAUGGUACAGUGGUCCCCGGCCUCUGUCUGUGAUUGGUGCAUGUGAGGUGUGUACUAGACCCAAGAUGGAAAUUGGACUCCAAACCAAGGGACGCCUCAUCUGACUGCUUUCUGAAGUAAAAGAGAUGUAAGUUGGAGCUCUUGGCGGCUUUGCUCUGCCACGUGGACUGAGGAGGGGAUAAAAAUCAAUUGGCAGUAAUAGAGAAAAAUAAAGCAAUGGAAACAGCAAAAGGAAUUGGGAGAAAGAAGAGGAGGAGGAGAAGGAAAGGGGAAAAGGGAAAGAUGAAGGAUUGCGAAGGCACGGAAUUCCUGGAACUGGCUUCAGUGCGGCCUGGUUAUAUCACUGUCGGUUGUUCUAGGAGACACUGCUUGGGCCAAAGGUGGCCUCUGACCAUGAAACUUAGAAAAGCAUUAAAUGCAUGUGAUUAAAUUUGUCAUUAUU